CCUACGGGAGGCAGCAGUGGGGAAUUUUGGACAAUGGGCGCAAGCCUGAUCCAGCCAUGCCGCGUGCGGGAAGAAGGCCUUCGGGUUGUAAACCGCUUUUGUCAGGGAAGAGAAGGUUCUGGCUAAUACCUGGGACUCAUGACGGUACCUGAAGAAUAAGCACCGGCUAACUACGUGCCAGCAGCCGCGGUAAUACGUAGGGUGCAAGCGUUAAUCGGAAUUACUGGGCGUAAAGCGUGCGCAGGCGGUUAUGCAAGACAGAGGUGAAAUCCCCGGGCUCAACCUGGGAACUGCCUUUGUGACUGCAUAGCUAGAGUACGGUAGAGGGGGAUGGAAUUCCGCGUGUAGCAGUGAAAUGCGUAGAUAUGCGGAGGAACACCGAUGGCGAAGGCAAUCCCCUGGACCUGUACUGACGCUCAUGCACGAAAGCGUGGGGAGCAAACAGGAUUAGAUACCCUGGUAGUCCACGCCCUAAACGAUGUCAACUGGUUGUUGGGAGGGUUUCUUCUCAGUAACGUAGCUAACGCGUGAAGUUGACCGCCUGGGGGAGGUACGGUCCGGCGAGUUAGAACGUACGAAAGAAGUUAGACGGCGUUGAGACGNGCCGACGGACGACGACGAGGGAGGAGG
rnacentral:rRNA from 1 species